GGUUAAGCGAACAAGCGUACACGGUGGAUGCCCUGGCAGUCAGAGGCGAUGAAGGACGUGCUAAUCUGCGAAAAGCGCCGGUAAGGUGAUAUGAACCGUUAUAACCGGCGAUGUCCGAAUGGGGAAACCCGGUGCACUUCGGUGCAUCAUCGUUAGCUGAAUACAUAGGCUAACGAGGCGAACCGGGGGAACUGAAACAUCUAAGUACCCCGAGGAAAAGAAAUCAACCGAGAUUCCCCCAGUAGCGGCGAGCGAACGGGGAACAGCCCAGAGCCUGAAUCAGCUUGUGUGUCAGUGGAACGGUCUGGAAAGGCCGGCGAUACAGGGUGACAGCCCCGUACACGAAGGCACACAGGCUGUGAGCUCGAUGAGUAGGGCGGGACACGUGAUAUCCUGUCUGAAGAUGGGGGGACCAUCCUCCAAGGCUAAAUACUCCUGACUGACCGAUAGUGAACCAGUACCGUGAGGGAAAGGCGAAAAGAACCCCGGCGAGGGGAGUGAAACAGAACCUGAAACCGUGUACGUACAAGCAGUGGGAGCCUUCGUAAGAGGGUGACUGCGUACCUUUUGUAUAAUGGGUCAGCGACUUAUAUUCUGUAGCAAGGUUAACCGUAUAGGGGAGCCGAAGGGAAACCGAGUCUUAAUUGGGCGUUAAGUUGCAGGGUAUAGACCCGAAACCCGGUGAUCUAGCCAUGGGCAGGUUGAAGGUUGGGUAACACUAACUGGAGGACCGAACCGACUAAUGUUGAAAAAUUAGCGGAUGACCUGUGGCUGGGGGUGAAAGGCCAAUCAAACCGGGAGAUAGCUGGUUCUCCCCGAAAGCUAUUUAGGUAGCGCCUCGUGAACUCAUCUCCGGGGGUAGAGCACUGUUUCGGCUAGGGGGCCAUCCCGGCUUACCAACCCGAUGCAAACUGCGAAUACCGGAGAAUGUUAUCACGGGAGACACACGGCGGGUGCUAACGUCCGUCGUGAAGAGGGAAACAACCCAGACCGCCAGCUAAGGUCCCAAAGUCAUGGUUAAGUGGGAAACGAUGUGGGAAGGCCCAGACAGCCAGGAUGUUGGCUUAGAAGCAGCCAUCAUUUAAAGAAAGCGUAAUAGCUCACUGGUCGAGUCGGCCUGCGCGGAAGAUGUAACGGGGCUAAACCAUGCACCGAAGCUGCGGCAGCGACACUAUGUGUUGUUGGGUAGGGGAGCGUUCUGUAAGCCUGCGAAGGUGUGCUGUGAGGCAUGCUGGAGGUAUCAGAAGUGCGAAUGCUGACAUAAGUAACGAUAAAGCGGGUGAAAAGCCCGCUCGCCGGAAGACCAAGGGUUCCUGUCCAACGUUAAUCGGGGCAGGGUGAGUCGACCCCUAAGGCGAGGCCGAAAGGCGUAGUCGAUGGGAAACAGGUUAAUAUUCCUGUACUUGGUGUUACUGCGAAGGGGGGACGGAGAAGGCUAUGUCGGCCGGGCGACGGUUGUCCCGGUUUAAGCGUGUAGGCUGACUUUCCAGGCAAAUCCGGAAGGUUAAGGCUGAGGCGUGAUGACGAGGCACCACGGUGCUGAAGUGACAAAUGCCCUGCUUCCAGGAAAAGCCUCUAAGCAUCAGGUAACAUCAAAUCGUACCCCAAACCGACACAGGUGGUCAGGUAGAGAAUACCAAGGCGCUUGAGAGAACUCGGGUGAAGGAACUAGGCAAAAUGGUGCCGUAACUUCGGGAGAAGGCACGCUGACAUGUAGGUGAAGCCCCUGCGGGUGGAGCUGAAGUCAGUCGAAGAUACCAGCUGGCUGCAACUGUUUAUUAAAAACACAGCACUGUGCAAACACGAAAGUGGACGUAUACGGUGUGACGCCUGCCCGGUGCCGGAAGGUUAAUUGAUGGGGUUAUCGCAAGAGAAGCUCCUGAUCGAAGCCCCGGUAAACGGCGGCCGUAACUAUAACGGUCCUAAGGUAGCGAAAUUCCUUGUCGGGUAAGUUCCGACCUGCACGAAUGGCGUAAUGAUGGCCAGGCUGUCUCCACCCGAGACUCAGUGAAAUUGAACUCGCUGUGAAGAUGCAGUGUACCCGCGGCAAGACGGAAAGACCCCGUGAACCUUUACUACAGCUUGACACUGAACAUUGAGCCUUGAUGUGUAGGAUAGGUGGGAGGCUUUGAAGCGUGGACGCCAGUCUGCGUGGAGCCGACCUUGAAAUACCACCCUUUAAUGUUUGAUGUUCUAACCUGGCGCCGUGAUCCGGCGUGGGGACAGUGUCUGGUGGGUAGUUUGACUGGGGCGGUCUCCUCCCAAAGUGUAACGGAGGAGCACGAAGGUCAGCUAAUCCUGGUCGGACAUCAGGAGGUUAGUGCAAUGGCAUAAGCUGGCUUGACUGCGAGAGUGACGGCUCGAGCAGGUGCGAAAGCAGGUCAUAGUGAUCCGGUGGUUCUGUAUGGAAGGGCCAUCGCUCAACGGAUAAAAGGUACUCCGGGGAUAACAGGCUGAUACCGCCCAAGAGUUCAUAUCGACGGCGGUGUUUGGCACCUCGAUGUCGGCUCAUCACAUCCUGGGGCUGAAGUAGGUCCCAAGGGUAUGGCUGUUCGCCAUUUAAAGUGGUACGCGAGCUGGGUUUAGAACGUCGUGAGACAGUUCGGUCCCUAUCUGCCGUGGGCGCUGGAGAAUUGAGGGGGGCUGCUCCCAGUACGAGAGGACCGGAGUGGACGCAUCACUGGUGUUCGGGUUGUCAUGCCAAUGGCACUGCCCGGUAGCUAAAUGCGGAAGAGAUAAGUGCUGAAAGCAUCUAAGCACGAAACUUGCCCCGAGAUGAGUUCUCCCUGAGACUGUAAGUCUCCUGAAGGAACGUUGAAGACGACGACGUUGAUAGGCCGGGUGUGUAAGCGCAGCGAUGCGUUGAGCUAACCGGUACUAAUGAACCGUGAGGCUUAACCUUAC
rnacentral:rRNA from 1 species